rnacentral:rRNA from 1 species
GGUAGUAAUUAAACCAAUAUGUGUUGGCGGUUUUUAUAAUUUAGAGAAACUCGCUUUAUAAUUGUAAAUACCCAAUAAUUUUCACUCUAUCUUAUACAACUUAUAUACCGCCGUUCAGGGUUAUACUUUCCUCCAUAAUCCUAAAAGAACCCACUCCAAAAAUCAGGUCAAGGUGUAGUUAAUGAAAGAGAAAAAGCAAGUUACAUUAAAGACAAUUUAAGGAUAAGAAUCUAAAGAUAUCUUGAAAGAGAAUUUAUAUGUACAUUUUAAUUAAAAUUUAAAAUCGAAUUCACAUUUAAAGACGC